AACUAACAAGGAUUCCCCUAGUAACGGCGAGUGAACCGGGAAGAGCUCAAAUUUGAAAUCUGGCGUGCUCAGUGCGUCCGAGUUGUAAUCUAUAGAGGCGUUUUCCGUGCCGGACUGUGUCCAAGUCCCUUGGAACAGGGUAUCAAAGAGGGUGAUAAUCCCGUACUUGACACAAUGACCGGUGCUCUGUGAUACGUCUUCUACGAGUCGAGUUGUUUGGGAAUGCAGCUCAAAAUGGGUGGUGAGUUCCAUCUAAAGCUAAAUAUUGGCGAGAGACCGAUAGCGAACAAGUACCGUGAGGGAAAGAUGAAAAGCACUUUGGAAAGAGAGUUAAACAGUACGUGAAAUUGUUGAAAGGGAAACGAUUGAAGUCAGUCGUGACUGAGAGGCUCAGCCGGUUCUGCCGGUGUAUUCCCCUCAGUCGGGUCAACAUCAGUUUUGUUCGGUGGAUAAGGGCAGUUGGAAGGUGGCACCCUCGGGUGUGUUAUAGCCAGCUGUCGCAUACAUCGGAUGAGACUGAGGAAUGCAGCUCGCCUUUAUGGCCGGGGUCGCC
rnacentral:rRNA from 1 species